rnacentral:tRNA from 1 species
UCCCUGGUGGCUCAGAUGGUAAAGUGUCUGUCUGCAAUGCGGGAGACCCGGGUUCGAUCCCUGGGUUGGGAA